GACGAACGCUGGCGGCGUGCUUAACACAUGCAAGUCGAACGGAAAGGCCCUGCUUGCAGGGUACUCGAGUGGCGAACGGGUGAGUAACACGUGGGUGAUCUGCCCUGCACUUCGGGAUAAGCCUGGGAAACUGGGUCUAAUACCGGAUAGGAGCCAUUUUUAGUGUGAUGGUUGGAAAGUUUUUUCGGUGUAGGAUGAGCUCGCGGCCUAUCAGGUUGUUGGUGGGGUAAUUGCCUACCAAGGCGGCGACGGGUAGCCGGCCUGAGAGGGUGGACGGCCAAAUUGGGACUGAGAUACGGCCCAGACUCCUACGGGAGGCAGCAGUGGGGAAUAUUGCACAAUGGGCGCAAGCCUGAUGCAGCGAAGCCGCGUGGGGGAUGACGGCCUUCGGGUUGUAAACUCCUUUCGCUAGGGACGAAGCUUUUUGUGACGGUACCUAGAUAAGAAGCACCGGCUAACUACGUG
rnacentral:rRNA from 1 species